ACGGAAGGCAGCAGUGAGGAAUAUUGGUCAAUGGGCGGAAGCCUGAACCAGCCAAGUCGCGUGAAGGAUGAAGGUAUUAUGUAUUGUAAACUUCUUUAGCAGCAGAGAAAUAAGGUGGACGUGUCCACCGAUGCUAGUAUGCUGAGAAUAAGCAUCGGCUAACUCCGUGCCAGCAGCCGCGGUAAUACGGAGGAUGCGAGCGUUAUCCGGAUUUAUUGGGUUUAAAGGGUGCGCAGGCGGUCUUUUAAGUCAGUGGUCAAAUCGGGGUGCUCAACGCCAUCCCGCCAUUGAUACUGGGAGACUUGAUUGCGGUUGAGGUAGGCGGAAUUCGUCGUGUAGCGGUGAAAUGCAUAGAUAUGACGAAGAACACCGAUUGCGUAGGCAGCUUACCAAGCCGUAAAUGACGCUCAUGCACGAAAGUGCGGGGAUCGAACAGGAUUAGAUACCCUGGUA
rnacentral:rRNA from 1 species